rnacentral:tRNA from 1 species
GCCUGGGUGGCUAAGUCAGUUAAGCAUCCGACUUCAACUCAGGUCACGAUCUCAUGGUUUGUGAGUUCGAGCCCCACAUCGGGCG